UUUAUGGAGAGUUUGAUCCUGGCUCAGGAUGAACGCUGGCGGCGUGCCUAAUACAUGCAAGUCGAGCGAAUGAUGAGGAGCUUGCUCCUCAGAUUUAGCGGCGGACGGGUGAGUAACACGUGGGUAAUCUGCCUGUAAGACGGGGAUAACUCCGGGAAACCGGGGCUAAUACCGGAUAAUAAGAAG
rnacentral:rRNA from 1 species